AGCAGCAUGGCGCAGAGGAAGCGCGCGGGGCUCAUAACCCCGAGGUCACUUGAUCGAAACAAGUUGCUGCUA
rfam:Paxillus involutus ATCC 200175 unplaced genomic scaffold PAXINscaffold_2, whole genome shotgun sequence.